UGGAGCAUGCUGGGUCAUACUGUUGCCAGGCCCGGGGAGUCUCCCAGUCGACACCCAACUGGAGGAGGCUUGUCUAUCUUCGCCUUAGUGUGCAGAGACAGCGCAGGCAGACCAAGACGCCAGAGAUGUCCGUUCAGCCAUUCAAUUCUGCCGAGGGAAAGAAGUUGUGUUAGUCAACUCUGAUGACUCGUACUUUUCUCUGUGGACUCUGCUAGGGACUGUUCUGUAAGCCAGUCACAGAAGAUGUGAACUGUAUCUGUACUAUGAAGUCUUUAUAUAAAUAAAGUUAAGGGCCACA